GCCGGAGUGGUGGAAUGGCAGACACAGUGGACUCAAAAUCCACCGGUGGCAACAUCGUACGGGUUCAAGUCCCGUCUCCGGCACCA
rnacentral:tRNA from 1 species